rnacentral:lncRNA from 1 species
GCUUGCUACAGGCCUCCACAGCUCCCAUCUCCCCUGCUGACUGUCAAAGGAAUUAGGAAACUUAAUUUGGAAAGAUGGCUGCAUACAGCACCUAACAUUUAAUGUAUAGAUACGUUAUGAGCCUAUCUAAGUACAACUGUGCAAGCUACCGUACUGGAUGAAACAUGAUGUUGCAUCAUGUAGGAAUAUCCCCUGGCAAAGGUCAACAGAAGGUUCAUCAGAGGAAGCAGGUAAUUAUUCUUAGCUGUUUCCACUUGCCUCCUUGCAGCCAUGAAACCCUGGUACGUAAUGAUGAAAGACUAAUUUCAGAACUCACACAUGUACUAUUUUGUUAGCAGUGGAAGCACAAGCAGAACAUCUGGGUGCCAAGUUCAAGCAAAGUGCAA